GGAGGGGUUAGAACAAGUUUAAGAACUUAACAUGGUAAGUCAGUCUGAUCUAAGCAAGUAGUUGACUUUGUAACUGAGAUGCAUUUAGGGCUCUGACCAUUGCCUAACUGCUAAAUAUACUGCAAACCUAUAGUAGCGGUUGCUUCUGCAUUUGUUGUAUGAAAAGGUUCCUUCAUCAAAACACCUAUCACAUUUUGUUACCAAAUCCUUGAAAUGUC
rnacentral:misc_RNA from 1 species